GCCGCUGCCGAGGCGUGAGGACUGUGUUCCUCGCUCGGUGUUGCGCGGCUUCGCGUGGUUAAGGGCCGACGUAGAGGCGUCGGGGUGGCGUGUCUCGGCGGUGUGGGUCUGGGGUGCCCCGGACACCGACCUGAGCUGCGGUGCUUGGAGCAGUAAUGAGGCUUCUAAAGCUGAGAAGUUUGGCGUCCUGUACUGAGGUUGGGUAUUAGGACGCUUUCUUCUGAGGAGUGGUGAGGCACAGGGAAAUGGUGGAGUCACUGUCUCUGGACAUGUGCAGUAAUCGUGUGGAUGUGGCAGUGAGGGAACUUGAGAGCUGAAUAGAAGCCUUUGGGCAUCCCUUUCAUCCUUAUGAAUUGUAGAAGUUGGUGUUCCUGACUGAGGGGGAAGAAAGAUGGGGGGGCCCAGCUGUCACUUGUGCUCACUCGCUGCUGUAUUCCUUCUGUGCCGGGUUGCUUAGCAGGGCCUCCACUGCCUUCCUUCUGGAGACGGGAAAGAUAAUGUCCUGUUUAUUCUGGCAGAACACUGAAGGACGAAUGAGGGGGAAACAGACUAUCACCUUCCAUUCAUUAUGUUUUACUAUUUAAACAGGAAUGUAGCUUGUGAUUAGCAGCCUGUUCCAGUAGUGCUGGCAAUACACAAAAGGCACAAAGGAAUAAUGAAUGACUAUCCUGGAAACUUCGUCCAUAGUUGAGGAACGUUAUAUUUUAUGAGAAUAAAUUUCGAAAGAUAGUACCCAGUUAUGUCUGUGGAAGCAAACAGGCAGCACUAUUCUGAAAGACACCAGCUAAGAUAAAAAGACAGUAAGAACAGAACUGGACUCAGUGCCUUACCAUCAUAUUGCUUUGAGGCCAAAGGCAGAUGUGUUGUCUCUGCUCCACCAUUAUGUGCAGUGGUUCCCAGACUACUUGCCUCAGGGUCUCAGAAGUUCUUUCCUGAACAGAAGACAGCAUAUGGAAUCAUGCCUAACAACCUCGUAUCUGGUAUACAAACACCCAUAAUCAUUAUUAGAACCCAAAUAAUUUUAAAUCCAAAUAUUGAUGCUUGGUGAUGGAUAAAAUGAAUCUAUAGAGCAAAAAAUGUGUGAAUCUUGACUCGACAUCCCUUAUGCCUGGAGAAGCAAUGUUCGCAUGAAUGAAAACGGAACCAAUAUAAAUGGAGAAUAGCAGUUCUCUGCGUUCAGCUAUUACUUGUAAUGUGGUCCUCAGUCAUAAGCUAAUCUGGAAGAAAAACAAACAAAAACCUA